rnacentral:rRNA from 1 species
GUAACAUAAAGAAGCUUGCUUCUUUGAUGACGAGUGGCGGACGGGUGAGUAAUGCUUGGGAAUCUAGCUUAUGGAGGGGGAUAACUACGGGAAACUGUAGCUAAUACCGCGUAGAAUCGGGAGAUGAAAGUGUGGGACCUUCGGGCCACAUGCCAUAGGAUGAGCCCAAGUGGGAUUAGGUAGUUGGUGAGGUAAAGGCUCACCAAGCCGACGAUCUCUAGCUGGUCUGAGAGGAUGACCAGCCACACUGGGACUGAGACACGGCCCAGACUCCUACGGGAGGCAGCAGUGGGGAAUAUUGCGCAAUGGGGGCAACCCUGACGCAGCCAUGCCGCGUGAAUGAAGAAGGCCUUCGGGUUGUAAAGUUCUUUCGGUAGCGAGGAAGGCAUUUAGUUUAAUAGACUAGGUGAUUGACGUUAACUACAGAAGAAGCACCGGCUAACUCCGUGCCAGCAGCCGCGGUAAUACGGAGGGUGCGAGCGUUAAUCGGAAUAACUGGGCGUAAAGGGCACGCAGGCGGUGACUUAAGUGAGGUGUGAAAGCCCCGGGCUUAACCUGGGAAUUGCAUUUCAUACUGGGUCGCUAGAGUACUUUAGGGAGGGGUAGAAUUCCACGUGUAGCGGUGAAAUGCGUAGAGAUGUGGAGGAAUACCGA